CCAAUACUAUUUUUAGGCUAUAUUUGAUGCCUUGAAUUCAGUUUUGAGAAUUGAAUGACGUAGAUUGAUCGUUAUAACCAAAAUUCUACAAGAUAUGUUAAUAGGCCAUUAUCUGAAUCAAUGAUCCGACCGUUGGAUUGUCAUCAAACUUUAAUUGGUUAUUAUUCAUAAUAUUUGAAGAAUAUAGGAACUUACGGAUUGGGAAUCCGACAUACGGAUCUUCUCGAAUUGGAUUUGUAAGUUCGUAAAAUAAAAUGUUAACCGCCACUUGGUUUUGGCAAUUGGCUGAGAUCCGACCGUUGGAUCGUUUUGAAACUUUAGUAUGUUAUUCUGGAAGCAUAAUGUGGAUCCUUGGAAGUUACGGAUCAGAGAUCUGAUUUGUAGACCUUCUGGACCGAAUUACGUAGACUCAUGUGCGAUGUAAGUUAUGUAUUGUAUCGACGAGAAUUCUAAGACAUGGUUUGAUAAUUGGUCACAGGCGCCGAUCGUUUGUGACGCCUCAAUGUUUGUGCUAGGAAGUUGUAGCACGGACUCCAGCUGAGUGGAUCUUUCCUUGCUUAUCAUAUUUUUCAUGAUUGAUAAUUCUAUAAAUGCUUUUAAAUAAAACUAAGAAAUUUAUGCCAUGACAUAUAUAUAUAUUUAUAUGUUAUAAAAUACUAUGAGAUGGUUGAGUUUAGAUUUCAUCAUGAUAUAUCCAUAUGUGUAUUACCAUAAAUAAUUAUUGCGAACUACGAAUGGCUUAAUCCCUGUUUAAGGUACAUAGGCAAUCUAACCAGACAUUAGAUGCAGCCAUAUGAGAUUAUAUAAUCAAGAUAAUAGCCUUGCUUAAGGAAUUGAGUAAUGUGAGGGAUAUUGGUGAAAAAUGUGCGUUUUAACUUUAUGUUUUGGUGAUUAAUAGUUAGUACAUCGUAUUAUAUAAUUGGAAGCACUAUGAAAUAUUUUUAUAUUCUAUGCUCAUAAUUAUUGUGAACGCUCUGAAGUGCAAAGGUGAACGCAGGACACACAGGUAAUUUCAGGUAAGUUUAGGUAAGUUCAAGUAAGUAUACGGUAUUAUUUGAAUUGAUGGGGUUAUGAUAUGACUACAAUUAUGUUUAAAGCAACUCCUACACUAUCGUAUAGGUUGCAAUAGUAGGCAACUCUGGUAUUAUCGUACAGGUUGCUUAUGAAUUGUAUACAUUGUAUUCAAUGCAUUUAAAGCUCAUAAACCUGCACCCCGGGUGAUUAUGAUUUAGCCAAAGAUAUGGCACAACCUGUUUAUAAUGUCACCUCCCACACCAUAUGUUCACAUUGGAUCCAAUUUAGGUGCCCAGUCCUAUCGUACAGACCAUUACAGUGGUUCUGACUUGUGUGCAGUGUAAUGCCGUAUAGGUCACUAUAGGUGACUCCGGCUAGAUUGAUUGAUGAGAUAUGGAUAAGUCGUGUAGAUCACUAGAGGUGACUCUGACUUAUAUGCUAGCCAUGAUUGAUGAGAUAUGUGAUGAGAUAUGAAUAUGUCGUAUAGGUCACUAGAGGUGACUCCGACUUAGAUGCUAGCCUAUAUGUGAUGAAAUGUUAGCAUAUAUAAUGAAUAUACGUGAUGAGCUAAUAUAUGUAAUGAAUACGUGACAAGCUAGCAGACGUGAUGAAUAUGUGAUAAGUUAGCAUAUGAUUAUAAAUAUGUGAAGCAUGACUUGAACUAAUAUAUAUAUAUAUAUAUAUAUAUAUAUAUGUAUAUUUUUAUAUUCUAAUUCUGGAAAUUUUACAGGCGUUGUAGCGAGGGGUUAUAGAAAUUUAUAUGGUUUCUAUUAAAAUUUUAUCUU
rnacentral:lncRNA from 1 species